rnacentral:rRNA from 1 species
AGUGAACGCUGGCGGUAGGCCUAACACAUGCAAAUCGAACGGCAGCACAGUAAGAGCUUGCUCUUACGGGUGGCGAGUGGCGGACGGGUGAGGAAUACAUCGGAAUCUACUUUUUCGUGGGGGAUAACGUAGGGAAACUUACGCUAAUACCGCAUACGACCUACGGGUGAAAGCAGGGGAUCUUCGGACCUUGCGCGAUUGAAUGAGCCGAUGUCGGAUUAGCUAGUUGGCGGGGUAAAGGCCCACCAAGGCGACGAUCCGUAGCUGGUCUGAGAGGAUGAUCAGCCACACUGGAACUGAGACACGGUCCAGACUCCUACGGGAGGCAGCAGUGGGGAAUAUUGGACAAUGGGCGCAAGCCUGAUCCAGCCAUACCGCGUGGGUGAAGAAGGCCUUCGGGUUGUAAAGCCCUUUUGUUGGGAAAGAAAAGCAGCAGGUUAAUACCCCGCUGUUCUGACGGUACCCAAAGAAUAAGCACCGGCUAACUUCG